rnacentral:misc_RNA from 1 species
AGAUAACAGCUGUCACCUGUG